rnacentral:lncRNA from 1 species
UGGCUAAGUAAGAGUCCAGCCUGUGAACGGCCUCCAAGCCUGAGCCCAGAGAAGACCGAGCCCCGGCACGAACCUGAUUCCUGCUGCGUGUGUGUUUUUUUAUAUUUGCCAAACACGAGGUUGUCCUUGUGAAUUUCCCUGCACAAUAGCUGACACCCGGGAGAGGGUGCGCGGGCCCCGGCGCCGCUGGGACAGAGACUGGCUUUCCAACCAGAGGAGAGAAUGGAUAGUGAAAUUUUUUUCUUGUCAGUUAACUUCAAAAUAAAACAAAACUGUUUGACCCGUGGAGUUUAUUCAGACGGAAAGCCAGGUUGCCUGACUCGUCCAGUUUGCAAUUUUCCCAGCGCAUCGGCUUUGGCCCCGGAGACAACACCCCCAGGGAGAGGCACAUUUUCAAAGCCACCCUUCACCGGCCCCAGGCCCGGGGCUCUGAUCUCCCUGAGCGCCUCAGUUGGUCCCGGAAAGCGAGGAGAAGAGGGGGUGCAGAGGAAGAAGUGCACCCAAAGAGCUGGCGAAGGCCCCCAUAGUGUUCCAGAGACGUCAGGUGGUGACGGCGGAAGCACUGAAAAUGCGCAGCCUAGAGGUCGCCCCAACCGCGUGCCCUGGCUCUCCGCCCCACUGCCCGCAGCCUGUCAUCGGGCUCCGGAACGCAGCGCCCACGCCGGGCUGUCGCGAUCGGGACCCGGCCCCGCGGCCCCGCAGCCCCGGGCCGACCCCGCGCGCCGCCGGCGGCCGCCAGUUCGGCGCGGAGGUGGGCUCGCUGCGGCGGCGCGCGAAAGGUCACCGCGGUGGCAUUCCUGUCCGCGCGCUGUUUACGUGACUUAAUGUACUUCGUCCGCCGCGG